GAUGAACGCUGGCGGCGUGCCUAACACAUGCAAGUCGAACGUGAGGGGGUAGCAAUAUCCCUGAAAGUGGCGCACGGGUGAGUAAUACGUAGGUGACCUGCCCUGGAGUGGGGGAUAACAGCUAGAAAUGGCUGCUAAUACCGCAUAAUACGAGAAUGCUGGGAAGUGUUCUGGUAAAAACUCUGGUGCUUCAGGAGGGGCCUGCGGCCGAUUAGCUAGUUGGCGGGGUAAGAGCCCACCAAGGCAGUGAUCGGUAGCUGGUCUGAGAGGACGAUCAGCCACACAGGAACUGAGACACGGUCCCGACUCCUACGGGGGGCAGCAGUGAGGAAUAUUGGGCAAUGGGCGGAAGCCCGACCCAGCAACGCCGCGUGGAGGAAGACGGCCUUCGGGUUGUAAACUCCUUUUACGGGGGAAGAGGAAGGACGGUACCCCGAGAAUAAGUCACGGCUAACUACGUGCCAGCCGCCGCGGUAAAAC
rnacentral:rRNA from 1 species